CGCGUAGGCGGUUGGGGAAGUCCGUGGUGAAAGCUCGUGGCUCAACUACGAGUCGGCCAGGGAUACUCCUUGACUUGAGCACUGUAGAGGCAGGUGGAAUUCCGGGUGUAGCGGUGGAAUGCGUAGAGAUCCGGAAGAACACCGGUGGCGAAGGCGGCCUGCUGGGCAGUAGCUGACGCUGAGGCGCGACAGCGUGGGGAGCAAACA
rnacentral:rRNA from 1 species